rnacentral:tRNA from 1 species
GGGCGCGUGGUUCAACCUGGAUAGAGCGACUGCUUCCGAAUAGCAAUCGAGCCAGCCAAUACGGGGUCCCCAGAAAACUCGAAUGAUGGGAGACAGCAGUAGGUUCCGGGUUCAAAUCCCGGCGUGCCCG